rnacentral:rRNA from 2 species
GGAGGAAAAGAAACUAACAAGGAUUCCCCUAGUAACGGCGAGUGAAGCGGGAAGAGCUCAAAUUUGAAAUCUGGUGGCCUCAGGUCAUCCGAGUUGUAAUCUAUAGAAGUGUUUUCCGUGCUGGCUCAUGUACAAGUCCCUUGGAACAGGGCGUCAUAGAGGGUGAGAAUCCCGUCCUUGACAUGAACUACCAGUGCUCUGUGAUACAUUUUCAACGAGUCGAGUUGUUUGGGAAUGCAGCUCAAAAUGGGUGGUAAAUUCCAUCUAAAGCUAAAUAUUGGCGAGAGACCGAUAGCGAACAAGUACCGUGAGGGAAAGAUGAAAAGCACUUUGGAAAGAGAGUUAAACAGUAUGUGAAAUUGUUGAAAGGGAAACGAUUGAAGUCAGUCGUGCUCUUUGGAUUCAGCCGGUUCUGCCGGUGUACUUCCUUUGAGUGGGGUCAACAUCAGUUUUGAUCGCUGGAUAAAGGCUGGAGGAACGUAGUACCCUCGGGUAAACUUAUAGCCUCCUGUCACAUACAGUGGUUGGGACUGAGGAACGCAGCACGCCUUUAUGGCCGGGAUUCGUCCACGUACGUGCUUAGGAUGUUGACAUAAUGGCUUUAAACGACCCGUCUU